rfam:Murid herpesvirus 1 strain N1, complete genome
CGAGCGGUCACUCGACGCGAGCACCGAGUCGCUACGGACGGUGACUCGAGACGAGUGACCGGUCG